rnacentral:misc_RNA from 1 species
AAGUCGUAACAAGGUUACCGUAGGUGAACCUGCGGUAGGAUCAUUAAACAAAGUGUAUCCACACUAUAACCCUUGUGAACUGUUCUUUCAACCACGUAGUAAUUAUGAUCGAUACGCUGUCGAGCACACAGAUGAAGGGCACGAGCCGGGGUGCGGUUCGUUGCUUAAGUUGCUCCGCUAUCACUCUUUCAAUAGAGAAGAUCUGUUAUUACGUUUACCAAUUUCAUCUGUACCCCAUUUACAAACCUUCUUUGUACCUUUUUGAUUGUAAUUAAAAAACUGAAUCAGUCGAAAGGCUGACUUCGGAUUUUCAUUUUAUGAAAUUAAAGCACAACUCUUAGCAACGGAUAUCUCGGCUCUC